rnacentral:rRNA from 1 species
CCUAGGGGAGGCAGCAGUGGGGAAUAUUGCACAAUGGGCGAAAGCCUGAUGCAGCAACGCCGCGUGAAGGAAGAAGGCCUUCGGGUCGUAAACUUCUGUCCUUGGGGAAGAAGAACGGACGGUACACAAGGAGGAAGCCCCGGCUAACUACGGGCCAGCAGCCGCGGUAAUACGUCGGGGGCAAGCGUUAUCCGGAAUUAUUGGGCGUAAAGAGUACGUAGGUGGCAACCUAAGCGCAGGGUGUACGGCAAUGGCUCAACCAUUGUUCGCCCUGCGAACUGGGAUGCUUGAGUGCAGGAGAGGCUAGCGGACUUCCUAGUGUAGCGGUGCAAUGCGUAGAUAUUCGGAGGAACACCAGUGGCGCAGGCGGCUUUCUGGACUGUAACUGACACUGAGGUACGAAAGCGUGGGGAGCAAACAGGAUUAGAUACCCCUGUAGUC